rnacentral:lncRNA from 1 species
CAUACCUCAUUCAGCUGUCGGACGCCGUCGAGACAAGUCUCAACUAGUUUCGCUCCACGUACAUGCAAUCAUUAUCGAUGACGUGAAUGCAUUGAAAUUAGGAAGACGUUCACCAUCGUUCCAUGGAAAUUAUACUAAUCAAUGGUGG